AGCAGCAUGGCUCAGUGGAAAGAGCCUGGGCUUCAAAGUCAGAGAUCAUGGGUUCGACUCCCGGCUCUGCCA
rnacentral:tRNA from 1 species